AAUUUCUCACUGAAAUAACAAGUUACAAAUAUGAGAAAUAUCAGUUUUAUGUAUUUCAGAGAAGUAAUUUCAUAUAUUUCAGAGAAAUUAGUUUCACAACUUGCAACAAUACAUUGAAAUAUUAGUUUCACAUUUUUUGCACAGCUCAACUACACACAGCUAUUUCAAUUCAUAUCUCACUGAAAAUCAUUCCAACCAUUUUCAGAAAUAUAUAACACUUCCACAGACUGAAAUUGUCAGUUUCACCAUAUUGAAAUAUAAAUUCACAUAUAUUCCACAAAUCAUUUCACAUAAAUUUGUUUCACAACUUGCAACACCACAUUCAAAUAUAUUACAGGGAAGUAAUUACAUAUUUUCAGAGAAGUAAUUUCAUAGAUCUCAGUCUCUUUCAAAAAACUAUACCCCAUGCUCUCUGUCACAAACAAAGAAUGUUCAAAUCGAGUUGCAAAUAUCUGAAAAUGAAGUAGCAGGGGAGGCCGACGAUCUGGUAAAGAAACAAAGAAUGUUCAACAAAUAUCUGAAACUGAAGUAGCAGGAGAGGCCGACGAUCUGGUAAAGAAACAAAGAAUGUUCAAAUCAUGCUAAUUAAAUCUGAAACCAUGAAGUGCAUAUGGAGAGAGGUUAGGAUAGAUGGGAUUCUUGACUCACAAAAUCCGGUGGCGGUCAGG
rnacentral:lncRNA from 1 species